AUCCUUCGCUACUGAUCAUGGACUCCAUUGGUGAAACUGAAAACCGACGAGAGAAUGCUGUGAUCCAAGACUUGUGUGUUCUACCGGAAUUCCUUGGUUCAUGGCGAAACUGAUCUACCUCCGCAUUCUGUCAGGAGCGCUAACAGACGACGUCGUCGCGAUACAGGUGGAGACGACGGUGAAAUCGCUGAUAACGAUGAUGGAUCAGAUCACGAAUUUGCCGAGGGUGGGUAAUGUUACCCGGUUUGACUUCAGCAUUUGAGUCUUGUGAAUGAAUGAAGUGAAUUCGUAGUAACAUAACAUGUACGUGUAAAAGUUUCAUUUCAUUUUUUGAUAAAUUUCCAGUGUUAACGCAUCUUAUCUGCGAUGAUUCUAGGAAAUGUUAGUUUUUAUUAACGUUUGGUGAGGUGCUUUGUUAUUUAUCCUUUUGGCUACUGAACUGCGACAUGUAAAUUUCCAUUUUAACAAUGGAUCCUGCUGUUAGAUUACGUACGAUCGCACUUGUAGGAUUCUCUAGGAUAAAUAAACACAGUUGACAGUU